rnacentral:tRNA from 1 species
AGUAGUCGCUACCAAGAAUCAAUCCCAAAAGGUCGGAGCGAGGCGAAAUUGGCUUUCAAACUAGGUUCUGGGUUCACACAAGACCUGAAUCAGGAACAAGGGCUAUUAGCUCAGGUGGUUAGAGCGCACCCCUGAUAAGGGUGAGGUCCCUGGUUCGAGUCCAGGAUGGCCCACCUGCACAGGUGGCAAAAACAAAGAAGCGAGGAAUCAGCACCUUAUCUUACUGACAUAGUAAGAGAGAAUGCUGGCUCUGAGUAAAGAGUCCAGAGGAACCUUGAAAACUGCAUAGAGCUAGGUGAAAAAGCCAAAAAAGAAGACCG